CGAUUUUUAUUAGACGAGGAAAAACAAAAAAGGCUAUACAAACACAACUAAAAAUGUAAAAAAAGAAGACAAAUGGAGACCUGAGCCGGGGUCAUAGGAUAUACCAAAACAAGACAACACUCACAACAUGGGUCGAUGAAAUGACUAGAUGCCGGGCUAAAUGUACGGUUUGAUCCUUGCAUAAGCUCGCGACUUUCAUUGGACAUCUUGUUUUCUAUAGAAAAGUUCUUCUAUUACACUCCUUCUAAAUAUGCCACCAGAAAUAGAUUAUAAUUUUGUCAAAAAACUUUUUUUCUUGGUUUGUCAAUGGUAUAGCUGUGCAUGCAUCUCCUCCAGUAACUAUUCAUGGAGCUGCUUUGAUUUAUGUUCCAAAUGUUGGGGAUAUCACACCAAGUCUGUACUAUUGACCAUGUUUCCUUGAAGGCGAUGCGUGUGCUCACAUUGGGGUUCAUGGUGGCCAGGUUGAAGACGACACUGGCAGAAAUUACAAGAGACAGAAGUAAUGCUGCAGCAUAUAGACCGAACAGCGGGACUAGCAGUUAUUAUGACAUCCAUAUCUCAGUCACCAUGGAACCUAUGGACAAACCAACUUACAUAAACAUGUGCAAGUAUAGGAGACAUUGGGCUGCCGGAUUAACGGGAACGCCAUUACGAUCCAGACUCCAGAGCAGCACAACAACGGCC
rnacentral:lncRNA from 1 species